GUUUCUGGUUCCUUUUCAUUUGGACUAUGGAGAUGGAUGGAUAUUCUACCCAUCUAUUUAUUUCCAAGACUCUGGGACCAUGAAGCUGAUGGGUCUAUGGAGUCCCCAAGGUCCAGGAGAGAAUUGGGCUAAAGAGAUAUACAACAUGGUGACUGCAGGUCAGCAAGAGUGGCCAGAGGUAAGACUGACCGGCCAGUGAGAAUGAGGCUCUAUCAUGAUGUCACAGCUUAAGGGACAGCACUUGCCCAGAGUGAAGUCAUUAGGCCUCCCUGUGUUUGUUUAUACCGUCCACACGCAUCCUGGUUGCCAAGUCCAUGAACGUGCUUGAGGCAUAAGCGUACUCCCUGGUGCUUUGGGUCUUCUCAGAGCUAGAGGCAGAUAGGAAAUGUUUCACAGUGGCUUGGCUGCCCUUAAACUCACAGAGAUCCUCCUGCCUCCUCUACCC
rnacentral:lncRNA from 1 species